GGCAGCACGGACUUCGGUCUGGUGGCGAGUGGCGAACGGGUGAGUAAUGUAUCGGAACGUGCCCAGUAGCGGGGGAUAACUACGCGAAAGCGUAGCUAAUACCGCAUACGCCCUACGGGGGAAAGCAGGGGAUCUUCGGACCUUGCACUAUUGGAGCGGCCGAUAUCGGAUUAGCUAGUUGGUGGGGUAACGGCCUACCAAGGCGACGAUCCGUAGCUGGUUUGAGAGGACGACCAGCCACACUGGGACUGAGACACGGCCCAGACUCCUACGGGAGGCAGCAGUGGGGAAUUUUGGACAAUGGGGGAAACCCUGAUCCAGCCAUCCCGCGUGUGCGAUGAAGGCCUUCGGGUUGUAAAGCACUUUUGGCAGGAAAGAAACGUCGCGGGCUAAUACCCCGCGAAACUGACGGUACCUGCAGAAUAAGCACCGGCUAACUACGUGCCAGCAGCCGCGGUAAUACGUAGGGUGCAAGCGUUAAUCGGAAUUACUGGGCGUAAAGCGUGCGCAGGCGGUUCGGAAAGAAAGAUGUGAAAUCCCAGAGCUUAACUUUGGAACUGCAUUUUUAACUACCGGGCUAGAGUGUGUCAGAGGGAGGUGGAAUUCCGCGUGUACCAGUGAAAUGCGUAGAUAUGCGGAGGAA
rnacentral:rRNA from 1 species